GGGGAAUUUUGGACAAUGGGGGAAACCCUGAUCCAGCGAUGCCGCGUGAGUGAAGAAGGCCUUCGGGUUGUAAAGCUCUUUCACCUGAGACGAUAAUGACGGUAUCAGGAGAAGAAGCACCGGCUAACUCUGUGCCAGCAGCCGCGGUAAUACAGAGGGUGCUAGCGUUGUUCGGAAUGACUGGGCGUAAAGGGCGCGUAGGCGGCUUUUUAAGUCAGGCGUGAAAGCCCCGGGCUCAACCUGGGAAUAGCGUUUGAUACUGGAAGGCUUGAGUGCGGAAGAGGAGAGUGGAAUUCCUAGUGUAGAAGUGAAAUUCGUAGAUAUUAGGAGGAACACCGGAGGCGAAGGCGGCUCUCUGGUCCGCAACUGACGCUGAGGCGCGAAAGCGUGGGGAGCAAACAGGAUUAGAUACCCUGGUAGUCCACGCUGUAAACGAUGAGUGCUAGACGUUGGGUGUAAAAGCUCAGUGUCGCAGCUAACGCAUUAAGCACUCCGCCUGGGGAGUACGGUCGCAAGAUUAAAACUCAAAGGAAUUGACGG
rnacentral:rRNA from 1 species